CAAGUCGAGUGCGCGUUCCGUAGCAAUACGGAAUGGCGCACGGCGCACGGGUGCGUAACACGUGGGUAAUCUGCCCUUCGAUGGGGAAUAACCUCGCGAAAGCGAGGCUAAUUCCGCAUAACAUUCCUUGGACUCCGGUCUGAGGAUUCAAAGGCGCAAGUCGUCGGAGGUGGAGCCCGCGCACGAUUAGCUAGUUGGUGAGGUAAUGGCUCACCAAGGCUAUGAUCGUUAGCUGGUCUGAGAGGAUGGCCAGCCACACUGGAACUGAGACACGGUCCAGACUCCUACGGGAGGCAGCAGUGGGGAAUCUUGCACAAUGGGCGAAAGCCUGAUGCAGCGACGCCGCAUGGGGGAUGAAGCUUCUCGGAGUAUAAACCCCUUUCGACCGGGACGAAUGCCCGCAAGGGAGUGACGGUACCGGUAUAAGAAGCCCCGGCUAACUACGUGCCAGCAGCCGCGGUAAGACGUAGGGGGCCAGCGUUGCUCGGAAUUACUGGGUGUAAAGGGUUCGUAGGCGGUGUGGCAAGUCGGGAGUGAAAUCUCUGGGCUCAACUCAGAGGCUGCUUCCGAAACUGCUGUGCUUGAGUGUGGGAGAGGCGCGUGGAAUUGCAGGUGUAGCGGUGAAAUGCGUAGAUAUCUGCAGGAACACCCGUGGCGAAAGCGGCGCGCUGGACCACUACUGACGCUGAGGAACGAAAGCUAGGGGAGCAAACAGGAUUAGAUACCCUGGUAGUCCUAGCCCUAAACGAUCAGGACUUGGGGUGCCACCCGUUCGGGUGUCGUCCCGGAGCUAACGCGUUAAGUCCUGCACCUGGGGAGUACGGUCGCAAGACUGAAACUCAAAGGAAUUGACGGGGGCCC
rnacentral:rRNA from 1 species